GAUGAACGCUGGCGGCGUGCCUAAUACAUGCAAGUCGAGCGAACAGACGAGGAGCUUGCUCCUCUGACGUUAGCGGCGGACGGGCGAGUAACACGUGGAUAACCUACCUAUAAGACUGGGAUAACUUCGGGAAACCGGAGAUAAUACUGGAUAAUAUAUUGAACCGCAUGGUUCAAUAGUGAAUGACGGUUUUGGUGUUACUUAUAGAUGGAUCCGCGUCGCAUUAGCUAGUUGGUAAGGUAACGGCUUACCAAGGAGACGAUGCGUAGCCGACCUGAGAGGAUGAUCGGCCACACUGGAACUGAGACACGGUCCAGACUCCUACGGGAGGCAGCAGUAGGGAAUCUUCCACAAUGGGCGAAAGCCUGACGGAGCAACGCCGCGUGAGUGAUGAAGGUCUUCGGAUCGUAAAACUCUGUUAUUAGGAAAGAACAAAUGUGUAAGUAACUAUGCACGUCUUGACGGUACCUAAUCAGAAAGCCACGGCUAACUACGUG
rnacentral:rRNA from 1 species